rnacentral:lncRNA from 1 species
UUUAUUUACACCCCCACUGUGGCAACCUUUGCUCUUGUGUUGGCUAGUCUACUGUAAGCCAGCUUCAGUUAGUAACUUUCCUAUUUAUCCCCGCUUUAUUAUCAAAUUUUGUACAAUUCGAUCAUUAAUGUACUCCCUCCCUUUGCUAGCCUGCGUGGGAACCACCAUAGUUCGCGCCGUGUGUUCCCAGUUUAGAACAAUCGCGCAGCGCAG